rnacentral:tRNA from 1 species
GCGGGAGUAGCUCAGAUGGAUAGAGCAAGCGUUUCCUAAACGCUAGGUCAUGGGUUCGAAUCCCAUCUCUCGCGCCA